rnacentral:tRNA from 1 species
GCAUCAGUAGCUCAGUGCUAGAGCACCGGUCUUGUAAGCCGGACGUCGGACGUUCAAACCUUCCCUCAUGCAU